AACGAACGCUGGCGGCAUGCCUAACACAUGCAAGUCGAACGAGACCUUCGGGUCUAGUGGCGCACGGGUGCGUAACGCGUGGGAACCUGCCCUUAGGUUCGGAAUAACUCCCCGAAAGGGGUGCUAAUACCGGAUAAUGUCUUCGGACCAAAGAUUUAUCGCCUUUGGAUGGGCCCGCGUUGGAUUAGCUAGUUGGUAGGGUAAAAGCCUACCAAGGCGACGAUCCAUAGCUGGUCUGAGAGGAUGAUCAGCCACACUGGGACUGAGACACGGCCCAGACUCCUACGGGAGGCAGCAGUGGGGAAUGUUGGACGAUGGGCGAAAGCCUGAUCCAGCAAUGCCGCGUGAGUGAUGAAGGCCUUAGGGUUGUAAAGCUCUUUUACCCGGGAUGAUAAUGACAGUACCGGGAGAAUAAGCUCCGGCUAACUCCGUG
rnacentral:rRNA from 1 species